CUGCAUCUCCUUGUACGCCUGUCUACUUUCUUCAUCUCUCUGACUAUCCCUUUUUUUUUUUUGCCAACCUUUUUCUUCUUAUGCUUUCGUGGACAUCUUUGUUCCACCACCAAGUCUCCUUGUCUUCCUUCCGCUGUCCAAAUGUCACAGCCAGUACCUUCCUAGCUGUCUCCCUCACCACAUCUGCAGUACUCUUCCAGUUGUCCAAAAUUGCUUCCCCUCCAUCCAGUGCCUCUCUCACCAGUUCACUGCAUUUCACACAAGUCUACCUCCUUCAGCUUCCAUCAUCUGAUCCUUUGUUGAGCUCUCACUCUCUUCUUCAUCUUCACCUCUAUAGUCAUCCUACAAACCACCAUCCUAUGCUGCCUAGAUACACUCAUUCCUGCCACCAACUUACAGUCUCUAACUUAUUUUAGCUUGUAUCUCCUACACAGGAUGUAGUCCACCUGGAUGCAUCUUCCUCUACUCUUAUAUGUUACCCAGUGCUCCUCCCUUUCCUUAAAGUAAGUGUUCAUCACAGCCAUUUCCAUCCUUUUUGCAAAAUCAACUACCAUCUGUCCUUACACAUUGCUGUCCUUGAUACCGUAUCUGGGGAGGUGAUGGUCUAGUGAUUAAGCAUUGGGCUUGAGACCAGAGGAUCCUUGGUUCAAAUCCCAGCCUGUUCAGACAAUCACUACGGGCCCUUGAAUAAGGUCCUUAACCCCUUAGUUGCUCCUGGUGUGUAGUGAGUACCUUGUAUGGCAGCACCCUCACAUCUGGGGUGAAUGUGAGGCACUAUUGUGAAGUGCUUUGAGCGUCUGAUGCAGAUG